CUGCAGUUCCUAUGCAACGAUGAGAUUUACUACUCAGGUCGAUGCGUAUCUUCGUGUUUCCAAGGGCCACCCCUGCUGAGGUUGAAUGAAAGGGGCCUAAGGCAUUUCAGCUGCUGCUGGGUACAACACAGCACUGCAGGGACUUCAGCGUGGGAGCUGCUGAGCACUGAGGAGGGAACAGCCUCACUGUUGGGGAGAAUGGAAAAGAUGAACCCCGCUCCCUGCAGGCUUUCCAGAGGUGGCUUUGGGAAGUGUUGUGAGUGGGGAGGAGGAGUGGAGCAAGGCAGACCUGCUCCUUUUGUCUUUGCUGCAGAGGAUCUGCACAGGCAAAUGCUCGUCUCUGCUGCAGAAGAAAACCAAGUGUCUAGCUGACAUUAAGGUAUCAAUCAGACAUGAAA
rnacentral:lncRNA from 12 species